rnacentral:rRNA from 1 species
UAAGGAAUAUUGGACAAUGGGCGAGAGCCUGAUCCAGCCAUGCCGCGUGCAGGAAGACUGCCCUAUGGGUUGUAAACUGCUUUUAUACGGGAAGAAACACCCCCUCGUGAGGGGGCUUGACGGUACCGUAAGAAUAAGGAUCGGCUAACUCCGUGCCAGCAGCCGCGGUAAUACGGAGGAUCCAAGCGUUAUCCGGAAUCAUUGGGUUUAAAGGGUCCGUAGGUGGACUGUUAAGUCAGAGGUGAAAUCCUGCAGCUCAACUGUAGAAUUGCCUUUGAUACUGGUCGUCUUGAGUCAUUGUGAAGUGGUUGGAAUAUGUAGUGUAGCGGUGAAAUGCAUAGAUAUUACAUAGAACACCAAUUGCGAAGGCAGCUUACUAGGUACUAACUGACGCUGAUGGACGAAAGCGUGGGUAGCGAACAGGAUUAGAUACCCUGGUAGUCCACGCCGUAAACGAUGGAUACUAGCUGUUCGGGGCCUUGAGCUCUGAGCGGCUAAGCGAAAGUGAUAAGUAUCCCACCCGGGGAGUACGUUCGCAAGAAUGAAACUCAAAGGAAUUGACGGGGGCCCGCACAAGCGGAGGAGCAUGUGGUUUAAUUCGAUGAUACGCGAGGAACCUUACC